rnacentral:lncRNA from 1 species
CCGGAUUAACACUCACAAAAUCAUACUCAUCCUUUUUACCUCCUUUUAUUUCAUCAUACACAUCAAACCAAUUACAUCGAAAUAAAACCACUCUUCUAUCCAUGACAAAUUGCAACUCAAUCACAUCUGUUAAUACACCGUAGUAAUCAAGGUUGUCACUAUCUUUAUCAUUCUCACCCAAUACAACAACGCCACAAUUUUGAGUCAUUAACUUCUU